UAUGAUGGCCCUAGCACCCUGAACGCACCCAACUCAGCUGACCUUGGAGGCUAAGCAGAGUCAGGCCUGGUUAGUACUUGAAUGGGAGCCUGGGAAUACCGGGUGCUGCAGGC
rnacentral:rRNA from 1 species